rnacentral:lncRNA from 1 species
CAACCUAGCAAAGAAAAUCAAAUUUUGACUUCGCAUUACUUGUGAAAAAUCUUACCGCGUUUGGUGUUCCCGCAUUUGAUAUUUGCGUUUCAAAUGCACACAGCAAUAUAGUAAUAACAACAUCAACAAGUCAUGUAUACGUUCUAGAAACGCGGUCAAAACCUGAUUUUUCUCCAAAUUUUUGACAUAUUGAAUCCAUAAAUGGUACACUUACUCUAUUGCAAUUGCAUCGCAUUGAACUUCUAUGUGAGCGUCUCACCAUUCCACGUUGUGCAUUACUAGGCUUGUACCCUCGAAUAGUCCUCCGUUUACUCGUCUUUUAAAACGGUCGGCUGGAGCAGAAACACAGAUUCUCCGCGAAGGCACGAUUUGUUAUUUAUUUUAAACGUUAAUUGUGGCACCGGAGCAACCGUCAACCGUUGUGAACCCUUUUUUGAAUAGGAAGACGAGGAGGGGAGUUGUAGGUAACUAGUUGUCUACGUUGGUGACACAUGCAGCAAACAAUGAUCCAAGUGCCAACAGCAACCAUUACUAUGGCGGUGGGAAACAGCCUUCACUGUUUAAAUUGAUUUAUUUGCAAGGUAGUGCUAACGUUUGCCGUGCUUUGUCUAUUUACAUGGUGUUAGGUAAAUAUAAUUUUACAAAUGUUCUUACAAAUGAAAUAAUCCUGCAUGCAUAUGCAGUGAAUUCAACAAUAUUGCUCAUAUUUGAAUUUGAGUGUUUUUGUUCGAAUUACAAAACUUGAAGUUCAAAUUCGAAUCCAUAAAAUGAUAUCGAAAGUCAUAACAAAAUGCCCAUAAACUACGUGGUAAUUAAGGAGUGGGAUGAAUAAGACCCAAUAUCCAUUAAAAGUCAUGCCGGGGGGAGUAAUUUCGCGUGGUCGACCAAAUGGUAUAGUAUUGUUUAUCGACUGUGUAACUUGCUAGAUUUCCAAUCCAAAGUAUGUUGUGUCCAGCAAACAACAUACAAAUUCAUGCAAUAUUAACAAUCAUUAUUCUCCAAUUAAUAACUUUGGCAAAUUCUUGUAAAAACACGCUGGAGAGAUCAAGUUUCAAUAUGAAUGUAAAUUUUAAAGCAGAAGAACAAGCAAAAUGACGGUAAUAUAUUGUCACCAGUAAGUCGAAAGAAAAUCCCAACCUCUCUGAAAAGAUUCUCAACCGGAAGAGAAUCAAAACCGCCCUCCACAUCCAAACCGACAAUCCAUCACACUUGACUAUGAUUUGGGAGGUUAGAGGGCUACGCAAAUCAUUCAACCUUCAGUGCUGCCUUUCCGGCUUGGGUCCUUUUUCCCAUUCACACCGGUAGGUAUGAAGCCUGGUAUCUACGCAAACGACGCACGUUCAGAUUGAUUGCUCGCCCCCUCCAAAACGAUGAAAGGAAGUGAUGAUUCCGUUUCGGUACGUUUUUUGUCACCAAGCGAUAAGGAAUGGAUCUCGGUCGCCCCAGGGUCGGAGGUGAUUAAGGUAAAUAUGCCAAGCUGAACCCAAGGGCGAGAUCAAAGCAUAAGCUUGAGGUCAUCCAUUCGUUUUCAGGUGGAUUCUCGUUCCAUGCGCAAUGCAAAUACGUUUUGGGGUUGACCAUUAAGUUGGUAUGAAAUGCACUAUGCGGUGUAUGAUUCAAUAAUAUACUUCACAUUUAUAGCUCUAGAAUAUUCUCCAGAUGAAUUGUUCAGAAUAUAUGAAUAUAUGAAGAUUCUCCCAUAUCCAUUCGUUCGAAUGGAAUCGUCCGGAGUUUUUUGAGGUCCAUUGGAAAUGUCCACCAGAUAACAGCUCAUAGAAGUGAGUUGAUCCCACCCUAGUUUCUCGGAAUCUAAAACAGUUUUAUAUUAAGUGGUUCUCUGCCUGACUUCAUCUAUACGAAACAUAAAGUCAGAGCUGAAAAUCUAUUACAUACACACUUAAAUUAUUUUACGGAUUCCUGCAAAAUCUCAACAGCUGAAAAGUUCAGUGAAAUAAAUUAACGG